rnacentral:rRNA from 1 species
GAAACUUAUUUCAACGGCCGCGGUAUCCUAACCGUGCAAAGGUAGCGUAAUCACUUGUCCUUUAAAUAAGGACCCGUAUGAAUGGCUAAUUGAGGGUGACACUGUCUCAUACGAUUAAUCAAUGAACCUGAUUUCCCAGUACAAAAGCUGGGAUAAAACCACAAGACGAGAAGACCCUGUGGAGCUUAAAGCCAAAAUACUGACUCACCCUAAAACAGUAUCCACCUUAAGUUGGGGCAACUACGGAGAAAAACAGAACCUCCGCGAUAAGAGGGUUUAACACCACCAAGGGAGACAUCCCAAAAAGUGAUGCCCUUAUGACCCAGUAAGACUGAGUACCGAACCAAGUUACCCCAGGGAUAACAGCGCCAUCCCCCUCAAGAGUCCACAUCAACAGGGGGGCUUACGACCUCGAUGUUGGAUCAGGACACCCAGGUGGUGCAGCCGCUACCAAUGGUCCGUUUGUUCAACGGCUAAUGUCCUACGUGAUCUGAGUUCAGACCGGAGG